GUGUUGUAAUGGUGUGGUAGUGUCAUGAUGUCAUGGUGUGAUGGUGUCAUGGUGUGGUGGUGUCAUGGUGUGGUGGUGUCAUGGUGUGGUGGUGUCUGGUGUGGUGGUGUCAUGUGGUGGUGUAAUGGUGUCAUGAUGUCAUGGUGUGGUGGUGUCAUGGUGUGGUGGUGUCAUGGUGUAGUGGUGUCAUGGUGUCAUGGUGUGGUGGUGUCAUGGUGUAGUGGUGUCAUGGUGGUGUGGUGUCAUGGUGUGGUGGUGUCAUGGUGUAGUGGUGUCAUGGUGUGGUUGUGUUAUGGUGGUGUGGUGGUGUCAUGGUGUGGUGGUGUCAUGGUGGUGUGGUGGUGUCAUGGUGUGGUGAUGUCAUGGUGGUGUCAUGGUGUGGUGAUGUCAUGGUGGUGUGGUGGUGUCAUGGUGUAGUGGUGUCAUGGUGUGGUGGUGUCAUGGUGCAGUGGUGUCAUGGUGUAGUGGUGUCAUGGUGUAGUGGUGUCAUGGUGGUGUGGUGAUGUCAUGGUGUAGUGGUGUCAUGGUGUAGUGGUGUUAUGGUGUGGUGGUGUCAUGGUGUAGUGGCGUCAUGGUGGUGUGGUGUCAUGAUGUGGUGGUGUAGGGGUGUCAUCGUGUGGUUGGUGUCAUGGUGUGGUGGUGUCAUGGUUGUGUCGUGGUGUCAUGGUGUGCUGGUGUGGUGGUGUCAUGGUGCGAUGGUGUCAUGGUGUGGUGGUGUCAUGGUGUCAUGGUGUAGUGGUGUCAUGAUAACAUUGUGUGGUGGUAUCAUGGUGU
ensembl:lncRNA